UGGUCACCUUUAGAACACUGCACACGGUCACUUCUCCUUGCUGGUACCAGAGGAUGCACAAUAAACUUAGCAAUUCCCAUAUUCAGAAGUCCAAGCCCAGAUCCUCACCAAAUGCAUGAAACAGACGCUCAUGAGGGAAAAUAAACCCUACAGCAGGGAAUGGAACUCUGUCUUAUCCGGCCCUGGCAUCCUUAUGGUUGUGAAAUGCAGUGCAGACUCUCCACAUACACACUGAAAGCAAGAAAAAGAAAAUGACAGUACAGGAAAGUCAUGCUACAGGAGAGCAGUUUCUAAGAAAGCAGAAAAUGCAGCACUCUUAAGGAUGAAAACCUCAGCGAGGGACGAAGGCUGACUUCCCCCAGAUCCCCGAGACUGAAUCUCUGGCUCUCCUACAAGAGCAUUUGAGGAGACAAGAGACAUGGGAAAGAACACUGAGAAGAAUGGUGAUGAAAAUAACCCCCAGAGAACUCACAGAACAACCUCUCCUGGAGCAAGAGGAAAAGUAGAGAUGUAAAACCACUUUUAACAAGUUAUCAGGAUGAUAAAUGGCUCAGUGGAUAAAUCACUUGCCACAAAAGCACAAUGACCUAAGUUACACCCCCAGAUUCUACUGGCGGCACAAGCUUCAAUCCCAGUGCUAGGAAGGCAGAGACAGGAGGACUCCUGGCUCUAAACGGGCCAACCAGUCUAUCUAAUAUGGAAGCACCAAGCUGAAGAGAAGCCCUAUUACUAAAAACAAGGUGGACAGCAUCUGAGAAACAACAGUAAGCCACUGACCUCCACAUGAGUACACACAUGAUCGUGCACACACGUGUGUACACACAAAGGCAUCUGCACACACACAUGCAUCUGCACAC